rnacentral:rRNA from 1 species
AUUGAACGCUGGCGGCAGGCCUAACACAUGCAAGUCGAGCGCGCGGCGGACGGGUGAGUAAUGUAUGGGGACUGCCCGAUAGAGGGGGAUAACUACUGGAAACGGUAGCUAAUAUCCCACACUCUCGGAUAACCCAUAAGGGAUUAGAUAGUAGGUGAGGUAAAGGCUCACCUAGGCGACGAUCCCUAGCUGGUCUGAGAGGAUGAUCAGCCACACUGGGACUGAGACACGGCCCAGACUCCUACGGAGGCAGCAGUGGGGAAUAUUGCACAAUGGGCGCAAGCCUGAUGCAGCCAUGCCGCGUGUAUGAAGAAGGCCCUAGGGUUGUAAAGUACUUUCAGUAGGGAGGCGUUACCGACAGAAGAAGCACCGGCUAACUCCGUGCCAGCAGCCGCGGUAAUUC